rnacentral:rRNA from 1 species
AUUGAACGCUGGCGGCAUGCCUUACACAUGCAAGUCGAACGGCAGCACGGGAGCAAUCCUGGUGGCGAGUGGCGAACGGGUGAGUAAUAUAUCGGAACGUGCCCAAUCGUGGGGGAUAACGUAGCGAAAGCUACGCUAAUACCGCAUACGAUCUAUGGAUGAAAGCGGGGGAUCGCAAGACCUCGCGCGAUUGGAGCGGCCGAUAUCAGAUUAGGUAGUUGGUGGGGUAAAAGCCUACCAAGCCUUCGAUCUGUAGCUGGUCUGAGAGGACGACCAGCCACACUGGAACUGAGACACGGUCCAGACUCCUACGGGAGGCAGCAGUGGGGAAUUUUGGACAAUGGGCGCAAGCCUGAUCCAGCAAUGCCGCGUGCAGGAUGAAGGCCUUCGGGUUGUAAACUGCUUUUGUACGGAACGAAACGGUUCUUUCUAAUAAAGAGGGCUAAUGACGGUACCGUAAGAAUAAGCACCGGCUAACUACGUG